rnacentral:rRNA from 1 species
UACGUAGGGCGCAAGCGUUGUCCGGAAUUAUUGGGCGUAAAGAGCUCGUAGGCGGUUUGUCGCGUCUGUCGUGAAAGCUUGGGGCUUAACCCCAAGUCUGCGGUGGAUACGGGCAGACUAGAGGCAGGUAGGGGAGAACGGAAUUCCCGGUGUAGCGGUGAAAUGCGCAGAUAUCAGGAGGAAUACCGAUGGCGAAGGCAGGUCUCUGGGCUGAUACUGACGCUCAUGCACGAAAGCGUGGGGAGCAAACAGG